UGUUUUCAAGCACAGAUCUCUCUCUUAACAAAAAAAAGAAGAUCAAUUCCUCUGCAAUUGUAUGCGAUCUGCGAUGGUGGGUCAAUCUCGGAAGGUGGAUUUGUUAGUUUAAUCAAAGCAUGAUACAGAGUGCAUAAUUUUUGAGGCGAGAUCAGGGUUUCAGAAGGGGCUUCUUUUUAGUGUCUACGCAUCAAAACAAUGAUAAUCAAACGGAAAUUGAAGACAAUGCCGAGUUUGAAACGACAUAGUAAUGAGGAAGAUGAAGAUAGCUUAUCGCAAGAAUAAGAAUGUGAUUUGGAUAGUACUUUUUGGGCUUACAUCAAUAUAAUUUUGCUAGCCCAACUGUAAAAUAAACACAAUGUCCAAACGAAAUGUCACUGAGGAAUAAAUGAAACGGUGAGUUUCACAAUUUUUGGACACGUGUCAACUUUAGAAAGCUUGACUU
rnacentral:lncRNA from 1 species